rnacentral:rRNA from 1 species
AGGACGAACGCUGGCGGCGUGCUUAACACAUGCAAGUCGAGCGGAAAGGCCCUUCGGGGUACUCGAGCGGCGAACGGGUGAGUAACACGUGAGGAACCUGCCCCAGACUUUGGGAUAACCUUCGGAAACGGAGGCUAAUACCGGAUAUUACCUGUCAUCGCAUGGUGGUGGGUGGAAAGUUUUUCGGUUUGGGAUGGUCUCGCGGCCUAUCAGCUUGUUGGUGGGGUAAUGGCCUACCAAGGCGACGACGGGUAGCCGGCCUGAGAGGGCGACCGGCCACACUGGGACUGAGACACGGCCCAGACUCCUACGGGAGGCAGCAGUGGGGAAUAUUGCACAAUGGGCGGAAGCCUGAUGCAGCGACGCCGCGUGAGGGAUGACGGCCUUCGGGUUGUAAACCUCUUUCAGCAGGGACGAAGCGCAAGUGACGGUACCUGCAGAAGAAGCGCCGGCCAACUACGCGCCAGCAGCCGC